rnacentral:rRNA from 1 species
CAGUCGAGCGAAUGACAGAGGAGCUUGCUCCUCUGAUUUAGCGGCGGACGGGUGAGUAACACGUGGGCAACCUGCCCUGCAGACUGGGAUAACUUCGGGAAACCGGAGCUAAUACCGGAUAAUCCAUUUUACUUCAUGGUGAAAUGUUGAAAGGCGCUUUCGCGCCACUGCAGGAUGGGCCCGCGGUGCAUUAGCUAGUUGGUGGGGUAACGGCCUACCAAGGCGACGAUGCAUAGCCGACCUGAGAGGGUGAUCGGCCACAUUGGGACUGAGACACGGCCCAAACUCCUACGGGAGGCAGCAGUAGGGAAUCUUCCACAAUGGACGAAAGUCUGAUGGAGCAACGCCGCGUGAGUGAUGAAGGUUUUCGGAUCGUAAAACUCUGUUGUAAGGGAAGAACAAGUACGUUAGGAAAUGAACGUACCUUGACGGUACCUUAUUAGAAAGCCACGGCUAACUACGUGCCAGCAGCCGCGGUAAUACGUAGGUGGCAAGCGUUGUCCGGAUUUAUUGGGCGUAAAGCGCGCGCAGGUGGUUUCUUAAGUCUGAUGUGAAAUCUCGCGGCUCAACCGCGAGCGGUCAUUGGAAACUGGGGAACUUGAGUGCAGAAGAGGAUAGUGGAAUUCCAAGUGUAGCGGUGAAAUGCGUAGAGAUUUGGAGGAACACCAGUGGCGAAGGCGACUGUCUGGUCUGUAACUGACACUGAGGCGCGAAAGCGUGGGGAGCAAACAGGAUUAGAUACCCUGGUAGUCCACGCCGUAAACGAUGAGUGCUAAGUGUUAGGGGGUUUCCGCCCCUUAGUGCUGCAGCUAACGCAUUAAGCACUCCGCCUGGGGAGUACGACCGCAAGGUUGAAACUCAAAGGAAUUGACGGGGGCCCGCACAAGCGGUGGAGCAUGUGGUUUAAUUCGAAGCAACGCGAAGAACCUUACCAGUCUUGACAUCCCAGUGACCGCUCUAGAGAUAGAGUUUUCCCUUCGGGGACAUUGGUGACAGUGGUGCAUGGUUGUCGUCAGCUCGUGUCGUGAGAUGUUGGGUUAAGUCCCGCAACGAGCGCAACCCUUGAUCUUAGUUGCCAUCAUUUAGUUGGGCACUCUAAGGUGACUGCC